AAAAAUUGACACCGUAACUUCGGAAGAAGGUGUGCCCUAUUAGUGUGAAGUGAACAACGGAGCAUGAAUGGGUUGCAAAAAAUCGGUGGCUGCGACUGUUUAUUAAAAACACAGCACUCUGCAAACACGAAAGUGGACGUAUAGGGUGUGACGCCUGCCCGGUGCUGGAAGAUUAAAUGAUGGGGUGCAAGCUCUUGAUUGAAGUCCCAGUAAACGGCGGCCGUAACAAUAACGGUCCUAAGGUAGCGAAAUUCCUUGUCGGGUAAGUUCCGACCUGCACGAAUGGCGUAACGAUGGCCACACUGUCUCCUCCUGAGACUCAGCGAAGUUGAAAUGUUUGUGAUGAUGCAAUCUCCCCGCGGAAAGACGGAAAGACCCCAUGAACCUUUACUGUAGCUUUGUAUUGGACUUUGAACAGAUCUGUGUAGGAUAGGUGGGAGGCUUUGAAGCAGGGUCGCUAGAUCUUGUGGAGCCAACGUUGAAAUACCACCCUGGUGUGUUUGAGGUUCUAACCUAGGUCCAUUAUCUGGAUCGGGGACCGUGCAUGGUAGGCAGUUUGACUGGGGCGGUCUCCUCCCAAAGCGUAACGGAGGAGUUCGAAGGUACGCUAGUUACGGUCGGACAUCGUGACGAUAGUGCAAUGGCAUAAGCGUGCUUAACUGCGAGACUGACAAGUCGAGCAGAUGCGAAAGCAGGACAUAGUGAUCCGGUGGUUCUGUAUGGAAGGGCCAUCGCUCAACGGAUAAAAGGUACUCUGGGGAUAACAGGCUGAUACCGCCCAAGAGUUCAUAUCGACGGCGGUGUUUGGCACCUCGAUGUCGGCUCAUCUCAUCCUGGGGCUGUAGCCGGUCCCAAGGGUAUGGCUGUUCGCCAUUUAAAGAGGUACGUGAGCUGGGUUUAAAACGUCGUGAGACAGUUUGGUCCCUAUCUUCCGUGGGCGCUGCAGAUUUGAGGAAGCCUGCUCCUAAUACGAGAGGACCGGAGUGGACACACCUCUGGUGUAUCGGUUGUCACGCCAGUGGCAUUGCCGAGUAGCUAUGUGUGGAAGAGAUAACCGCUGAAAGCAUCUAAGCGGGAAACUCGUUUCAAGAUGAGAUCUGCCGGGGCCUUGAGCCCCCUAAAGAGUCGUUCAAGACCAGGACGUUGAUAGGUCAGGUGUGGAAGCGCAGUAAUGCGUUAAGCUAACUGAUACUAAUUGCUCGUGCGGCUUGACCCC
rnacentral:rRNA from 1 species